ensembl:snRNA U6 U6 spliceosomal RNA
GUACUCUCUUUGGCAGCACGUAUACUGAAACUGAAAUGACACAGAGGAGAUUAGCAUGGCCCCUGUGCAAGGAUGACACGCAAAUCUGUGAAGCAUUCCAUAUAAUA